rnacentral:lncRNA from 1 species
AGGACACCUGUUCAGGAUAUUGGUCCAGAGCAGGGUUUCUCUCCUAAACAUCCUUAGCUCAUAGAUACUCCUUUGUUGCCUUUUGACAUCCUGUGAUUGGCAUCCGUGUUUUUGGGGAUUAGCUGAUCAAUUUUGUAAUAUGUAUAUAGUACAAAUACAUGUACAGGAAAAAAAUCAGAAAGGAAGAAAGGCAUAUAAGUUUGAUCCAUUUCAUGUUUCCCGAUGUGGUCUUCUGCUGCCAGUAUACUUUUUAUUGCGAUCCUUAUUUUGUGGAUCUUGCUCAGCGUACACUAAGCAUUCCAGACCAGAGCCACGAGGGUGGUUAAGCUAUGAUUAGCACAAUAAAUUAAUCAUCCACAUUCCACUUCCAUGUUUGUGUGGUAUACCAAUAUCAAUGAACAUUUAGUUUUUCAGAACGGAUACAAAUUUCUAUUCCGAGUACAGGAACAAUUGCCUCAAGAUGCAGAUCAUUCUGUUAGCAUGUUUAUUACUGUCUAUACAUCACAUUCCCGUGUAUCGGUGUAUGCAUUUCUAUCAAGAAUACACAAGCCAUCCAGCGCCGCAUGCAUUCCAUCGUGCUUCAGUCAGAAUAUAUCUACUCGAUUGAUAAAUUUCUUAAACCCCGAGCCCCGGAGACAAUUAACAACUAAGGCCCUGUUCGGGCCCUGUUCGGUUAGAGGUAGAUUGAGGGGGGUUGGAGGGGAUUCAAUCCCUUUCUAUACAAAUUUAUAUAGAAGGGGAUUGAAUCCCCUCCAAUCCCCCUUAAACCCCUUCAAACCGAAUAAGCCCUAAAUAAUCUCACAUCCGAAUCCAAGCAAAUCCAUUCGAGCUGCCAUAAACCAACUCGAUUGGACAAAGUGAUGAAUGCAAAUGGAAGGUGCGGUUAGCUCUUUGGUCAGGUGCAUGGCGUGGUCCCGUGCAGGAAGCUUUGGGGUGGGAUACAGAUAGGCUACAGGCCACCUUCCCGUGCCCUGACCUGGACUCCGACGCAACGCAUUCCCUCCGUUUCAUCCUCCUGGCCGGCGGCAACCUCGCCUAAUAAUUCGAGAUGGUGGUGGGUUGGGUGGUCCGCACCUUGGCUCAGGCCUUCUCCUCUGGACCGCGGAUCCGACGAAUCAACGAUGGUGGCGAGGUCCAAAUCCUUCCGCCGGAGUCGACCUUAGAGAACCGCCGUCGCCGCCCACUGAACACUGGACCCGAAUUUUUUGCAUUUUGGCACUUUCUCGAAA